GACGAACGCUGGCGGCGUGCCUAAUACAUGCAAGUGGGACGCAAGGAAACACACUGUGCUUGCACACCGUGUUUUCUUGAGUCGCGAACGGGUGAGUAACGCGUAGGUAACCUGCCUAUUAGCGGGGGAUAACUAUUGGAAACGAUAGCUAAUACCGCAUAAUAUUAAUUAUUGCAUGAUAAUUGAUUGAAAGAUGCAAGCGCAUCACUAGUAGAUGGACCUGCGUUGUAUUAGCUAGUUGGUAAGGUAAGAGCUUACCAAGGCGACGAUACAUAGCCGACCUGAGAGGGUGAUCGGCCACACUGGGACUGGGACAAGGCCCAGACUCCUACGGGAGGCAGCAGUAGGGAAUCUUCGGCAAUGGACGAAAGUCUGACCGAGCAACGCCGCGUGAGUGAAGAAGGUUUUCGGAUCGUAAAGCUCUGUUGUAAGUCAAGAACGUGUGUGAGAGUGGAAAGUUCACACAGUGACGGUAGCUUACCAGAAAGGGACGGCUAACUACGUG
rnacentral:rRNA from 1 species